rnacentral:rRNA from 1 species
CGUGCGCAGGCGGUUAUGUAAGACAGAUGUGAAAUACCCCGGGCCGUCAACCUGGGAACUGCAUUAGUGACUGCAUAGCUGGAGUACGGCAGAGGGGGAGUGGAAUUCCGCGUGUAGCAGUGAAAUGCGUAGAUAUGCGGAGGAACACCGAUGGCGAAGGCAAUCCCCUGGGCCUGUACUGACGCUCAUGCACGAAAGCGUGGGGAGCAAACAGGAUUAGAUACCCUAGU